rnacentral:lncRNA from 1 species
CUUUCCAACUUUUUCUCGGCGGAGUGAGCGCAGCGGGCGCAGACUCGGGGGCAGGUUGCUGUGCUUCUCCGGGCUCAGCCGCCUGCUCUCCUGGCUCAGGUCCUCGGGGAGCCCUAGACAGACAUCAAGUGGCCACUGGCGCUCCUUCCCCUCCCAGCUGAGCCAUCCUCCCCGGCCUCCUCGGGCGGGACAGCCCCGUGCUUAGGUUUUUCUCCUUUUCUCCCCCGGUGCGCCUCUGCUCGGACUCUCGCGCCGGGAUCGCGGCGGAAACCUCCCUCCCCUUUCGCCUCCUGCGGCUCCUUCCCUUCGCCCCUCCUCCGCCAGUCACUGGAAUCAAUUCCGUGGGGAAUCGGCUCCGCCGCCGCGAAGGACAGCCUUUCCGCGCGGGACUCCGGGGCGCCACGGGGGCCAUGUAAGCAGGUGGUGGUCUUUUGAAUGGUUUGCGUGGAGUUGCUGCUGUCCAUCACCAAGAUUGAAGAUUGAAGUCCUCACCGUCUUCCAGCAGGCAGCGGUAGGUGGUGACCCUAGCCUCCAGCUUGGCCUUGAUGUUCAGCAGGGCCUCGCACUCCUGGGCUUGGUGUUGCGCCUCUUCCUGGGUCUGGGCCAGCCCUGACGCCAGGUGCAGCAGGAUCUCGUUGAGCUGCUCCAUCUGCAGGGUGUAGCGGACCUCCACCUCCCUCAGGCUGUUCUCCAAGCUGGCCUUCAGAUUUUUCAUGGAGUCCAGGUCGAUCUCCAAGGACUGGACCGUACGUCCCAGCUCCGUGAGUGUCAUCUCAGCAGCUCCAACCUGGGCGGACUGGGUGGUGACCACUGUGGUGCUCUCCUCAGUCCGCUCAGACCAGCACUUGUCCAGCUCCUCUCGGUUCUUCCGAGCCAGCUUGUCAUAUUGGGCCCAGAUGUCUGCCAUGAUCGUGGCGAGGUCCUGAGAUUUGGGGGCAUCAACCUCCAUGGUCAACCCAGAGCUGGCAAUCUGGGCUUGUAGGCCUUUUAGUUCAUCUUUGUGGUUCUUCAUGAAGAGCAGCUCCUCCUUGAGAGCCUCGAUCUCUGUCUCCAGCUGUGGCCAAGUGACAUUGGUGUCAUCAGUGACCUUGCAGAGCCCGUAAUGCUGCUCUCCACAGACUGGCGCCUGAGAGUCUGUCUCAUACUUGACUCUAAAGUCAUCAGCAGCAAGAUGGGCAUUGUCAGUCUGCAGAACGAUGCAGGCAUUGUCCACAGUAUUUGCUAAGAUCUGAGCCCUCAGGUCCUCGAUGAUCUUGAAGUAAUGGCCCCCAGUCUCUGACCUGGGGUCCCUUCUUCUCCAGGUGCUCCCAGAUUUUGCUCUCCAGCCUCCAGUUCUCGAUCUCCAGGCUCCUCAGUCUGUCCAGGUAGGAGGCCAGGUGGUCUUUCAGGCUUUGCAUGGUCUCCUUCUCGUUCUGGAUGCCUCCUAUUCCUGCCAGGCCCCCAGCCAUCCCUGCGGCCAGGCCCCGGGACCCCAAGCCAUCCCAGAAGCUGGUGUAGCAGGACACGGAGAUCUGGAAACCAGAGCCCCUGGCACGUGCAUAGGCUCUGGCCACGCUGUUGACCAGCUGGGCGGCUGGACAGAGCCCAGGGACCAGUAAUUGGUGGAGAAGUUGGAGCAAGUGGUGAAACUCAUGCUGUCUGGGGAGGAGAACGAGAGGACAGGACCCAGGCUUUGCCAACGACCUCAGUAUACUACUACUUCAAUACAUAUUUAUUCUGACAUUAAAAUAAGACAGUGAAAAAGUAAAAACAAAACAUACUUGAUACAAGGUUUUAUAACUUUUAUCUCAAUCAAAUCAUAGUAAUUAUCACUACAGAAUUGAACAAGUGGUCAAACCUGCUCAGAUUGCUGAGUUUUGUUUCAUAUUUUAAAGUCUUAGGAGGGAAUUUAUUUAUUGCCCUGUUGCCUAAUAUUGGAUGGCUUUAAUUCCAUGGUUUUCAGAAUUGCCUAUUGCCAUAUGGUUUACAUACAAAAUACCACCUGAAACAUAAGAACGGGUCUUUCCUACGGCUUUCCCCCCACAAACUGUAAAUGAAAACUUUUUAUUACUGACUGUAUCCUCUCAUUUGGUUUAACUUACAAGUGUCAUGUUGCCUGCUGUUACACUUGUCUUUGGCGUCUGCUCAGAAAUAAUGGUGUCUAGACAGACCCAUAAAUAUCCUGGGUUAUAGUUCCUCAUUUAAGGCUCUGAGACUUCACAGCAGGGGCAAGAAGACUUGCAGGGCAGAUACGAGAAAUCUUCAGGCCACUUAAUUCAGAGUCCAUUGGCAGAAUAGGCAGAGAAUGUGUGUGUGUGUGUGUGUGUGUGUGUGUGUGUGUGUGUGUGUUAGGCUGGGUUGUAGAGAUGGGUUUUGGAAAUGAUAGUUGGGUCUUGAAACUACUAUUGGAGUGCAAAUGCCUCCUCCCUCAUUUGGCGGAGAAACGUCAAAAAUCCUCAGAACGGAAGAAUCCAUUCUCUUUAUUUUGGGACACAGCCUGGUAAAACUUGUAAGAAAUUAUGACAGCUCUGUGGGAAGCAAGUGCAAGUGUGGGAGAAGCAAGUUGAUGUGUGAAGCAGACAUCAGUGUGUGAACCAGAGUUUAUUUGAACAGUAGUAGUUGCUGGUGGCAGAAUGUUAAAAAUGUGAGUAUUAAGAGUAUUAAUGAUGUGACUAUUAAGACUUGGAUUAGUGUUGAAGAAAUGUGAACUUGAAUAGAUUUGCUAUGAAAGUCUUCGGAUUUUUUUUCCUGUAAUGGAUUUUAUUUCAAUUUCAGUUCACUUUAUAUGAGUCUCCCUGGAAUUCAUUGCAAAUUUCUUUUGAAAGGUAAGGACCCGUUUGUUUAUGAAGUUUUGAUUUUUUAGGAGGUAAAUAUUUGAGGCAAAGUUGGUACUGAGGUUCAGAGUAAAUGGGAAUGAGGAUGUUUUAUAUUAAUAUAGAAGUUAAGUAAUUACAGAGAAAAGCUUUUAAAAAUUAGUGCAGUAAAAUAGGGUGCUUGUUUAUAUUGAAUUGUUAGAUAUCUUGGCUGAAUUUAUAAAAAGAAGGUUACUACUGAACUCUUAAAAGGUUAUCGUACUCGUCGUAAAUAUUUUCGUAAACUGCUAAUAGUUUUGACAACAAAAGGAGUGCUUAUCUUUGGAAUAUAUUCUCCUUCACUGAAUUAUUUAUUUUGGAAGAGUUGAGGCUAAGGGUGUAAAAUAUAUUAUAGAGCCAGGCAUCAUGGUGCACGCCUGUGAUUCCAGCACUUAGGGAGGUCAGUGUGGGUGGAUUGCUUGAGCCCAGGAGUUCGAGACCAGCCUGGGCAACAUGGUGAAACCCCGUCUCUACAAAAAAUACAAAAAGUAGCCAGGCAUGGUGGUGCACCCCUGUAGUCCCAGCUUCUUUGGAGACUGAGGUGGGAGGAUUGCUUGAGCCUUGGAGGCAGAGGUUGCUAUAAGCUGAGAUCCUACCACUGAUGCACACCAGCCUGGGUGACCGAAGGAGACCCUGUCUCAAAAAAAAAAAAAAAAAAAGAAAAGAAAAGAAAAAAGAAAGUAUUAUAGAUUUUUAGAGCUUUUUGGUUAGGGGUUGAUCACUUAUGGGACCCCACACUGUGUUGCCCUCAAAGAGUUACUGUUACCAUGUUCACUCCCUAAUACUUUCUCCUUGCAUUUUCCUUCCAUUCCUUUUUUCUUCCCUCCUAGCCUGAAUGUUGGCCUACUAGUGAAAUCUGCUUAUGGCCUAACCUGAUGGGUAAUUAACAGACAAUAUGUUGUAGUUGUUGACCUAAGAAGGCCUGAGACUAUUAGUCUGUUUUAACAUACCUGCAUCUAUGAGGUAUCUGUAGUCAGCUCUGUUUUUCUUAAGUAGAGGUUUAUCCAUUACCAACAGUGAAUGUUCAAUGCAAGGAAUAGCUUUUUAAAACAUAUGGCAAAUUUGUGGUUCUUUAGAAUCCAUUGUCAUAUAGUGGUUAAUAUAUAUAUAUAUUUUUUUGAGACACACUCUUUCGCCCAGGCUAGAGUGCAGUGGUGCCACUUCGGCUCACUGCAACCUCCACCUCCCAGGUUCAAGCGAUUCUCAUGCUUCAGCCUUCCAAGUAGUUGAGACUACAGGCAUGUGCCACCAUGCCCGGCUAAUUUUUAUAUUCUUAGUAGAGAUGGGGUUUUGCCAUGUUGGCCAGGCUGGUCUCAAACUCCUGGCGUCAAGUGAUCUGCCUGCCUCAGUCUCCCAAAGUGCUGGGACUACAGGCAUGAGCCACCGUCCCCAGCACAUGUUUGUUGAUGUCCACAAGUUGUUAGAGGUUGUUUAUAAGGAGGAUGGUAGCCAAAACUGUUAAUUUCUCCCAUGUCUCUGUAGAAGGAAAACCUGUGCAGCACGCUCUAUUUUGCUAGUGUACUCAGUUGUCAAAUAGAUAGCCAACUUGUGUGUGACCAAUCGUCUUUUCUCCUUCACUCUGCUGCUUUGAAGACCUUGGUCUCUGAAACACAUACUUUUGGUCAGGUAUCUAUGACCAUAGAGAUUAGGACCCAUCUUCUUGACUUUUUUUGGCAGAGAGACAGUGUCUCACUCUGUCAUGCCCAGGCUAGAGUAUAGUGGUGUGAUCACAGUUCACUGCAGCCUCAAACUCCUGGGCUUAAGUGAUCCUCCCACCUCAGCUUCCUGUGUAUCUGGGGCUACAGACAUGCGCCACCACACACAGCUAAAUUUUUUAAUUUUAAUUUUUAUUUUUUGGUAGAGAUGAAGAUCUUGCUAUAUCCCCAGGCUGGUCUCAAACUCCUGGCUUCAAGUAAUUUUCCCACCUUGGCCUCCCAAAGUCUUAGAGCUACAGGUGUGAGCCACCAUACCCGGCCCCAUCUUCUUGACUUACAUAGGCUGUGGGUAUCAUCAAGCUAAAGCCCAUUUUUUAAAACAACCAUACCUCAAUUCUUUUUUUUUUUUUUGAGAUGGAGUCUUGCUCUGUCACCCAGGCUGGAGUGCAGUGGCAUGAUCUCGGCUCACUGCAACCUCCACCUCCCAGAUUUAAGUGAUUCUUGUGCCUCAGUCUCCUGAGUAGCUGGGAUUAUAGGCAUAUACCACCAUGCCUGGCUAAUUUUUGUAUUUUUAGUAGAGAUGGAGUUUCACCAUAUUGGCCAAACUGGUCUUGAACUCCUGACUUCCAGUGAUCCGCCCACCUCGGCCUCUCAAAGUGCUGGCAUUAGAGGCGUGAGCCACUGCGCCCAGCCCCCAUACCUCAGUUCUUAAAGUAUCUCAAGAAUAUUAAAACCAAUUACCCUACCACUCAAGUAUAUCCACUGUGUUUUUAUAUAUUAUUUCUAAACUUUCUAUUAAUUAUAUAACUGUAAUCAUGUUAUAUAUUUAGAAUAAUAGUCACAUAGAGCAAUAUAUUGUGAGAAUACUUUUUCUGCUUUUCUUCCCAUUUAUCUUUUUAGUCACACUUUUCUCUGUUGCCACAUAUUCUUAAUAUACUUAGAAUGUUAAUGGAUGUAUAGCUCAUUGAGUAGUAUGUUAUAAUUAACAAUUUCCAUUUGUUGACUAUUUGGGUUAUUUCCAGGUGUUUGUUUGGCUACUAUAAAUAAAAUACCAUUAACGUCUUUG